AUGAACGCUGGCGGCGUGCUUUACACAUGCAAGUCGAGCGAGGCGGGGAGCAAUCCCCAGUCGAGCGGCGAACGGGUGAGUAACGCGUGGAUGACCUGCCCUGAGGUGUGGAACAACCAGGGGAAACUCUGGCUAAUACCGCAUACGACCGAGAGGUGAAAGGGGGCUCGCAAGAGCUCUCGCCUGAGGAGGGGUCCGCGUUCGAUUAGCUAGUUGGUAGGGUAAUGGCCUACCAAGGCGACGAUCGAUAGCCGGCCUGAGAGGGUGAUCGGCCACACUGGAACUGAGACACGGUCCAGACUCCUACGGGAGGCAGCAGUGGGGAAUUUUGCGCAAUGGGCGAAAGCCUGACGCAGCAACGCCGCGUGGAGGAUGAAGGUCCUUGGAUCGUAAACUCCUGUCAGCAGGGAAAAAGGAACUCGACCUCAUACGUCGGGGACUUGAUUGUACCUGCAGAGGAAGCCCCGGCUAACUCUGU
rnacentral:rRNA from 1 species